CCCAGGGCAGGCGUCCCUCAGAGGGGCUGGGCAGGGGCAGGCACGGCCCUGGACGCUCAGAGGCGCAUGGUUACGGCCUUGGGAAGCCGCCACGCCCCAUAAAACGCCAGGCGGCCCAGCUGUCCGCAGCCGGCUCAAGCCGCCUGGCAGGCUCGGCCGGAGGACUCAUAAACAGGCCGAGAUGGAAGAGCAUGGUUAACGAGGCGUCUGCCCGCCAGCCCUCGCCCAACCCCCACCCCAGACCCCAUCUGCCUCCCAGAGGGGCAGGCAGGUGGGCCAGGGACCCAGCCGGGGCGGGGGAGGGGGAAAGCGAGGGAUGGACCCCAGAACACAGGGGCCAGGAAGCCUGAGUCCUAGCUCCCCUGGAAGGCUGCCCCCCGCCCCGGGGGAUCUUCACUGCAGCCCAGGUGGCACUGCCUGCCUGGCAGCCGGGAGCCAGCAGGUGCGCAAGGACUGCGAGCGAGGGAGCGUGCGUCUGGGCCAUCCACGCAAGGCGGACCAACCCCGGCGCUGGCUGCAGACACCUCAGGCUAGGGGAAGAAAUGGCCAACGGCCUCGGAGGCGAGAUGGACUGUUCCAGGUCGGGACGCUCCCACCGAGCUGCCUUGCUUGGCUCACCCACCGGCCAGACCCAAGAACUGGGGCCAGCUGCCCCCCAAGCCCAUAGCAGGCAAGUUCAAAGUCUCUGGCAGGAGUUUCCCUUCAAAUAACCCUCGAAUAAGCAGUGGCCCACUCAACUCCGCUGCUCUCCACUCUGACAAUGGAUCGAUUUUGUAAAACUGUAGGGUUAAACUUUGGUUUGGUCUGAAUUGGAUGCGUGCCUGGGCACAGUGGGCUGUAAGACCUAUGUGUGUCAGAGAAUGGAGCCUCAGAUCAGAGAUGCAGGGGUGUGGGGUGGGGGGAUUCAAGCAGGUGGCAAAGGAGCCUCCUGGCUCUGCACCUGCCCCACGUGAUGCCAUUUGCACGCCCUUCCAGAUGUACCCAGACCAUUGCAGCAGGACCACAGGCAACCCCUCUGCCGAGAGGAGCAUUCACGGACAUUUUCCCCGUGAUGAGGCCUUCACCCGAUGCUCGGCAAAGCUGUUGGUGCUGCCCGGCCUCAGCUAGAUCAGCAGGGAGAUGCUGGCUCCCCGGCUCCCCGUGCUGGAGAGCAGGUGUCUGCACACCCAAUGAGGAGGUGGCGAUGUGUAUCUGUGUCACUCCCAGUGCCACCACCCAACCCGUAGAGCUUCCGUCUUUGGAGAAAAAAAAGGGGGGGGGGGGACUUAAUGGAAAGAGAUCCUUUUAUUAAAACACCAUAAGUACAACUGCAUUCAUUCAACCUUGGAAAUGUUGUGAUGGCUUUUCAGCUCGGCAAUAUAUUUAGAAGGGAAUAUGUCAUUAAUAUAAACAGCAGAAAAGAAACUAUUAAACUAACACAAUUUAAAACUGAGCAAACCCGAGUGUUUGAUUAAAGUUUUUAUACAUUCUGUACACUUGAGCAGGUAACAUAGAACCUUAAUAUUUUUGUUGAUUUUUAAUUUGCUCAAGGUAUGACAUCCGAAACGUUAAAAUUUCGCUACUUUGUAUUUGAAACUAAGCGGCAGGGCCACAAGGAGGAUUUUCGGGCCGAUUUUCUCAGCUGUCUUUAGGUUUUCUGGAGGAGUCUCCGGCAGUACAGUAACUCA
ensembl:lncRNA